AACGAACGCUGGCGGCAGGCUUAACACAUGCAAGUCGAGCGCCCCGCAAGGGGAGCGGCAGACGGGUGAGCAACGCGUGGGAAUCUACCCAUCUCUACGGAAUAACGCAUGGAAACGUGUGCUAAUACCGUAUACGUCCUUCGGGAGAAAGAUUUAUCGGAGAUGGAUGAGCCCGCGUUGGAUUAGCUAGUUGGCGGGGUAAAGGCCUACCAAGGCGACGAUCCAUAGCUGGUCUGAGAGGAUGAUCAGCCACACUGGGACUGAGACACGGCCCAGACUCCUACGGGAGGCAGCAGUGGGGAAUAUUGGACAAUGGGCGCAAGCCUGAUCCAGCCAUGCCGCGUGAGUGAUGAAGGCCCUAGGGUUGUAAAGCUCUUUCACCGGUGAAGAUAAUGACGGUAACCGGAGAAGAAGCCCCGGCUAACUUCGUGCCAGCCGCCGCUGUAAAAC
rnacentral:rRNA from 1 species